CUUGCCUUCACCUACUCAACAUGGCAUCUUAUUGGCUGGUUUGCGUAGCUUGCUUACGAGGGAGGAUGUUUCAGUUAGAAUCGUCCCAGUGAACAAGCACCAAACCAGCGGUAAGUUGUUGGUUGCAAAGCACUGUACGUCAAAAGUGAUUUUUAUACUCCCAAGUGAUGAUUUAAAUGUACAAUUUAUAUCAAUUUGUUUGUAAAUGUUAUUCGAACAUCACACAUAAGAUGCAGCAUUGUUUGGUGAAUAUUUGUUGUGCAAUUUGUUGUAGAGAAUUCCAGCUAAUACUAGCUAGCAACUUACUGUGUUGUAUAUUUUGUACAGUGCGUGAGUGCAGAGUUAGAUGGUGAGCCGUGCAUUGCAUGAUGUGCAAUUUUGUGCUGUUCCAAUCAGGUACAUUGUUAAAGAUAUUAUAUUGUAUAUUGUAAUUGUAUUAUUUUGGUAACUAUAUUGCUCAGUGAACAAGCACCAAACCAGCGUGCGUGAGUGCAGAGUUGGAUGGUGAGCCGUGCAUUGCAUGACGUGCAAUUUUGUGCUGUUCCUAUCAGAAUAAAGCUCCAUGACUGGUGCUACAAGUUGGAGUUCGUGUCAAUGAUUGAUUGUACACAAGGCAAGAAGAGUACUGUUAUACAUGGAUUGUUUGGCACUGAACUGAAAGACAAAGGGAAUUCAGACUGCUGCAUAUCACGCUACACCAUCAAGGAAACAGAGAAAGCAAACUGUUCAGAUGUAAUACUGUAUAUUUGUAUCAAGUCACAGAGGAAAAGAACCAUCAUGAAUUCCUUUCUUUGUAUGAACAUGUUUAUAUCUUUUCACUGGACUUACUGUAAAUAAAUACAAAUUGACACAUUGAA